ensembl:lncRNA
CGUCAACACACGCCGCACAACAGCAGCGUGACGCUCAGGGAUCCCCGCUGUCCCUUCGUGGGCUCCCGCCUGCGUGAGGACAGGGAGGACCCGGAGCGGGGAAUAGCGUCGGGGACCCGGGACUGUGAAUGGACCAGGAUCCCUGACGGAUGGGGAGAUGGGCCCCGCAGUCACAGAAGGGUCCCCCAAAUCCUUGAUGGAUGGGGGUAACGGGUCCGGCGAGCUCAGGGUGGUGUUCCCUGGACUCAUGAUGGAUGGAGAGACUCAGCGACUCAUUUCCUUGGGACCCACCAAGCCCUGAUCUACUGCUAGGUCCACCACUCUGCUCGCAUGAUGAUACCAAGAAGUGUUAAGUUUUUGAGAGGCUCCGUCUCAAGGAAGCCCUUCAGGGAGGGGAAACUGAGAUUCCGAACGUGCUGGGAGAGGCUUGAGGUCUGACAGCUGUCCACAGGCUUGGUGCCUUUUCUGACUCAUCUGCGGCCCUGGUGUGGAAACAAACACGACGUGAUGGCCACCCACCGAGGACCUCCCGGGGCAGCGUGAGACUCUCCAGCAGAGCAUCCAGGGACGGGAACCCACACAGCGCUCCUCCAGGGGGUGGGAGGAACAUGCGCUUCAGUUACCACGUAGCUGUGUUACCUCGGGCGCAUCAUGUAACCUCUCCGAGCCUCAGUUUCAUGGAGCAUGAGAAUACCUUGUCACGUGUUAAUGAAGAUAAGAGACGCCCCAUGUAAAAAAACUUUUCCUAGAAGAGGCCCUCUGUUCCUGGAAGCUAUUUUUAUUUGAAUAAAUCAAGGGCUGGUACAUCCUCGCUUGUAGCUGUCUACAAAUAUGUGUGUGUGUGUGUGUGUGUGUGUGUGUGUGUGUGUGUGUAUGAAGAUGUCAUGAAUAUUGUUCUUUUUUCAAAAAAAUUAUUUUGUUCAAGUAUAGCUGAUUAACAAUGCUG